rnacentral:tRNA from 1 species
GGAGCGUACAGCUCAGUGGUAGAGCACGUGCCUAACAAAGCACAAGGGCCUGGGUUCAAUCCCCAGUACCGCCA